ACCAGGCUCCCACCCGUGUAGAGCCCAGCUGUGGCCCCCCUAGUCCAGGCACCCAUCCCCCUAACACCCAGAGCCCAGCCGUGGCCCUCCCAGCCCAGACACCAGCCCCCUACUGGCCAGGGAUCCACAGGGAGAAACAGCCUGUUGCUGGGUUCCAGGCUUGUGUGGAGUUUCCCGCACACCACCCUCUCCUUCCCUUGGGCAUGCAGGGAACUGCAGUUGCCGGAAACUCUCUACUCUCUCCCCCGUCCUCCCCACCACCACAGUGUCUUCUGUGUGCAAGCAGGGCUCAGCGGGGUCCAGCGGCCCCUGCUCGUGGCCAGCAGCAUUGCAGCCCAUUUCUUUGCAGGGGAAAGGAAAUUAUGUGCAAAAAACAUUAAUUUCUGCAAAAUUCUGCAUUGCACAGUGACGUGACGCAGAAUUCCCCCAGGAGUAUUAUUGUUCCCCCACUAGCAGAGUGAUUGUCAGAGUAACUGAGUUCACCCUUUGUGGACAGAUUGUCUCACUCCUUGUUAUUCUCACUUUUUCCAGGUAGUGCCUAAAAGUUGUUAUUUUUGUACCAUUUUUCUCAUUUAAAAUAUAUUUAUAACAAAGAGAAGGCACAAGGAGACAAAAAAAUAGUGUCAUUUCUGCCUCUGAUGCUCAAAGGAGAUGGGGUGAAUUGGAGGGAUUCGUUCCUUCCCCAUCACCAUCAUGAUACUUCCUCACCACUACAGCUUUAGAAUUUAUUCUAUCCCUCCAUCUCCCAAAGUGUCAUGUGACACACUGUUCUUAGCUCUCUGUGCUUAGGAAUCACAUACUUGUAAGCACUGUAGAUUAAAGUGUCACAGACCUAGAGGGGAAAUUUGAGUGGAUCCCAAAGCCAGUGUGAUUGUUCUGAUCUUAAAUCCCAGUUUCCAUUCUUGAAAAAGUGACUUUGGGGAUUUUUCCUGCUGAGCGGAUGGAAAGGCUGGCUGUUUUUCCCCAUUUCAAGGAUGCUAAAACGUUUGAAAAUAAUAAUGAGGUGGUGUUGAGUAAAGCAGGUUUGCAUGGAUCAUAGGAGAACACAGCGGAAUAAUUCGUCCUCCUGACUUUUGAAUCAUUAGAUAUACACUGUGAAUUUCGAGAGGAGAUUAUUACACCCUCUGGAAUUGUCAAGUUUCUCUGCAUUGUGGAUUUUUCUCUCUUUCCUGAAUGCCGUUUGGUCACGUGAUUGGAUAUUUUAUUAGACAAUGUGGAUCAGAUUUAUUAUGGACUUUGAAACAGAUUACCAUUUGCUAAAAUAGUCUUGUGGUUUUUUUCCCAUCCCUCCACGAUGACAUAGAGGAAAUUAUUUCAGUCACUGGGAGAGAAUACUGCAAUUUAUUGGGCAUGCUACCAAGGAACUAGUAGUGUAUUUUAAAUCUCUAUAUUGAAAUAGUGAACACCACAAAUGGUGCAACUAGCUGAAGUAAUUGGAUAUGAUCACACUGUUGUUCAUUUGGUUGGGUCAGUAUCGUUUCAGAUGAUCUGGGGAGAGAAUUUUACAGUAAGUGACUUGGAAGGAGGCAAAAUAUUUGGUUCCCAAAACAGUUGUGGCCCAGGAAGAUCCGUAUUAAAGAAUUUUGGGUCCCCCUGCCCACCUUCCUUAAACUAGACAGAACAUGUGAUAGACCAUAUGUAAAUAUGAGAACCUCUUCAUUUAUGAUAAUGAUUGUUAGAGUUAGAGCUUCUCAGCAGAAAAUUCAGAAGCACCACUGAAAGUGAAAUGAUUGUGUUCUUAUGCUAACUUAUACAGUAGCAUAGUGUAUUUUGAGUAUUAGAAAGAAUACAAGCAGAAUUUGAAUAUAAGAAUAAAAAUUAGCCCGACUGAGUGAAAAAAAGCAUUACCGUGUGCUGUGCUGCAUGUUUCAUGUACUGGAAGAAAACAUGUUUGUUUAAUAUAUUUUAUCGUCUUUUGUUUGUUUAGGGUUUUUUGUUAACCACAGUUCUCCAUUUUUACCUCAUUUGUUCACUUUGUUAUCUUUUUUUCAAUAAACCUAAUAAUUAUUUUUAUAGACUGCUUCAGAAUACAACAUGCACCUGGUGUAUUAAACUAAAUUGGUUUGUUCAAUUCUCAAAUAAAUUGUUACAUCCAAACAAUUUUUCAAUCAUUUUCAUGCCCUGGGUGGAGAAAGCAUUGCUACUGGGUCCAAUCCUUCAGACUUUAGACUUUGAAAUCAGUGGGAUUAGUUGUGUGUGCAAGGAUUGUACGAACUAGACCAACUCUUAUUUUGCAACAGGUUUAACAGGGUUUUUUCUUUGUUUUGUUUUGCGUAAUCAGUUGGGCAUUGUGCCAAGACUCCAGUGAUUAUAAAUGCAAAUUUGU